UAGGUUUGUGGGCGUUUCAAGUGACCGGUCACGUCGAAUCACAGCAAGAGAGCUUUAUAAUUAAAGAUUUUUGCACGACAAAAGCAUGAUGUGGCCACUUAUUGCUGAAUGUUGAUCUACAUCAUGCAAGGUUUUAGGAGGAAGCUACGGACGAAUUUUUAAUAAGUCAUCGUUAGCAGUUGUGCAUCGUUUAAAAGAAAGGUUAAUGAAUAUCUGGAGGAGCAUAUGGAAUAUGGAUCUCGUCACCGGCCUGUUGUGGAGGAGACGCCAGAACAAAUUGAAGCCCCCCUGGUCCUGACUCACUGAUCAAAAUUUGAGACCAGUAACUUUUGGCAACCUUCCAUACAGGGUAUGUAACGUAGAGAAGGUGGAAUUGAGGCUGGCUUAAACAACAACGAUAAUAUAGGAAGGCCUGCCAGUCUUAAUGAACUGUAUGCUGCUGUGACCUAUGGUUAA